GCGAACGGGGAGACUGCAGACUGCGGUGCUGGGCAGGGCCACUCCUCCCGCGCACACUAAAGCCUUCCUCGUCUCCCGGGUGAUUGAAGACAGUUCAGGACCCUGAUAAGACCCCGCCCUUGAAGCAAAGACCCAGGAUCGGGAGGAGGAGAGAGGCGGCCUCAGCCCAGCAGAGCCAAGCCUUUGGAAAACAGGCUUCUCUCCAGCUGCCAGGAGUGGCCCAGGCUGGGCGAGUGGCGCGUCUGAGCCAGGGCGCGCGGAGCCGCUCCCAGUUCACAGGCAGAGAAUGAAAAUGUAAUUGUCUCCAGCUCAGCCACCCACUACCCCCCACACCUACAAAGAGCGGCAGGGCCUGGAGUGCUUCAGGCUUCCUGGAAGACAUGGCAUUUGAAGUGAAACUGGAAAGCAGGACUUCCCUGGUGGCACAGUGGUUAAGAAUCCGCCUGCCAACACAGGGGACACGGGUUCGAGCCCUGGUCUGGGAAGAUCCCGCAUACCG